rnacentral:rRNA from 1 species
AUUGAACGCUGGCGGCAUGCCUUACACAUGCAAGUCGAACGGUAACGGGCCUUCGGGUGCCGACGAGUGGCGAACGGGUGAGUAAUGCAUCGGAACGUACCUUUCAGUGGGGGAUAACGUAGCGAAAGUUACGCUAAUACCGCAUAUUCUGUGAGCAGGAAAGCAGGGGAUCGCAAGACCUUGCGCUGAUUGAGCGGCCGAUGUCAGAUUAGCUAGUUGGUGAGGUAAAGGCUCACCAAGGCGACGAUCUGUAGCGGGUCUGAGAGGAUGAUCCGCCACACUGGAACUGAGACACGGUCCAGACUCCUACGGGAGGCAGCAGUGGGGAAUUUUGGACAAUGGGGGCAACCCUGAUCCAGCCAUGCCACGUGAGUGAAGAAGGCCUC